rnacentral:rRNA from 1 species
UACGUAGGGUGCGAGCGUUGUCCGGAAUUAUUGGGCGUAAAGAGCUCGUAGGCGGCUUGUCACGUCGGGUGUGAAAGCCCGGGGCUUAACCCCGGGUCUGCAUUCGAUACGGGCUAGCUAGAGUGUGGUAGGGGAGAUCGGAAUUCCUGGUGUAGCGGUGGAAUGCGCAGAUAUCAGGAGGAACACCGAUGGCGAAGGCAGAUCUCUGGGCCGUAACUGACGCUGAGGAGCGAAAGCAUGGGGAGCGAACAGG